UUGUGUACAUAAGGAAACUACUCACAAUCAUGGGUUGAAUUAUCAUCAAGUGGAAGAGAGUUUGAAAUUUGAGGAACUCUUUGUAUGCCUUUUAAGUCGGUCAUGUAGCGGGCUCUCAAUGACCAGCCUACGGCUACAUGGUGAGCCCUCACUGGUCGACUUGCCAUAUCAGUUAUGAUCAAUUUCGAGGCAUAUAUCAAAAACCAGCGGAUAUUAUGAGGGAGAUAUCCCAGGAAUUGAAGCAGCUAGUGUCAAAUCCCUGUAGGUUUGACUUUGAUAGCUGGUUGGGCAUAAGAGCUAAUGUUAGAUUUGCAUCCCCUCCCCUUUGUAGCGUGAUAUUAUUAAGGAUUUGCUUCCAUUUUGGACUUACAUUGCUUGCAAAUUGGGAAAUAUCAGUAAUAUCAGAUCUUGGGAAGAUUGCACUUAAAACCAAGUUCCUACCUCUUCUUUCCAUCUCGAGCAGAGAUCAUGGCAGGUUCUGAUUAGCCAAAAUAAUCUAUAUAAAAAAAUAUUUCUCCACUGAGAACCAGUCGUUCCAGCUGGACGAACCGAGCUUAUAUGGCAACUAGAAAAUUGCCACAUGCCCUGUUUGAAGGAAUUUGCUGCAAACGGAGUUGUAGAAAAUUUAUAUUCUACAAGCUUUCAAACUUUACGAAAAGCUUCUUCUAGAGCAAACAUUUAGAUCGAUCUGCCAGUCCUGAAUCUUCGUAAUUGGCAUGGAUUCAGCUGACAGAGAAGGCAAACACCAUUCCAGAGAGAUCAGAGACAGAUCAUGACAACAUACGAACAAUUUUAAGCUCAAAAGAGAAGAAAAGGAAAAGCAAUAAGUUCAUGUAACUUGGAUUAUUAGGGCAACGCAAACUGGGAUUACUAAAGAAUGGGAUGCGCUAUGAAACAAAUACUCCAAAUAGAGGCAACAUGUUCUGUGUAUGAAAGUGUUAAACUCCUCAAGUUGCAUUCACUAGCAUGCCAAAAAGCAUGAACUAUGGAAUGGUCAAAGAUAUCAAGGAGUUAGGCCACUAAAAAGAACUUGCCUUACCACUGAUGCAAUACAUGAUUGUUUACAUCUCAAUCACUAGCCAUGUACAAGCACUAGCAGAUACAGUGCCACUAAAUAUCAACCCUCCCCAACCAUCUCUCUGGGAGUCAUAUGUGUAAAUCUGAAUGUAGCCAGAAAUCACUGCAUUUAAAAAACAAAAGUAAUUUUCAAUGGAUAGGGGAGCAGAGCACUAAAACAUCUGAGAUUCUGACGGCUAACUUGUGCCAGACCAAGUUAAUACACUGUGCCAACCCAAUUUAUCUAUUAGGGACCCAACACCAGAAUUGGACUCUAGGGGAUGUCCUCAAGAACCUAGGCAUGCCUCAACAGAUGAAUAUUUGCAUAUAGAUUCCAUAUUACAUAAUAAGAUUUCAGCGUGACAGAUUAUUACCAGGUGAAAAAUGCUGUCUAACAAGAUGAUAACCUAACUAUCAGCUUACUUGUACCUACAACUAAAACAGGCUGAUCAAAAAUUACCACCCAAAUAUAAGAAGUCCUACUUCCAAGACACUGAUAUAGAAAAUUAAGCAUGAAUCUGGGAACAAAAAAUCUCGGAUACAGUAGCAGAAUAGCUCCAUUUCAGGGAGUUUUUAUAGAAUAGGUUUGUAGACAAUAUUGUCUUACUAGAAACAACGGAAGUUACCAAUUACAGAUCAUUACAAUCAAGACAUGGAGUGCAAGUGUCUAUUGUCAUAUAACACACAACAUGCCCCGAGGACACAAGCAGAGGUAAAUCAAUUAUCUGUCCUCAGGCAAGCCAUCCUGGCAUGUAAUUACUCACACUUGGGCCAGGCGCU